rnacentral:lncRNA from 1 species
GGAGGGAAACUAUGCAUUUUUUUUUCUAUGUUUGCUCUAAGCAGACACUUUUGUGGGAUACAUACGCACUUUAUUAACGAUGAUUUACCUUUAGACGCAGCACACAAGCAGC